ACACUCCUGCGGGAGGCAGCAGUGGGGAAUUUUGGACAAUGGGCGAAAGCCUGAUCCAGCAAUGCCGCGUGUGUGAAGAAGGCCUUCGGGUUGUAAAGCACUUUUGUCCGGAAAGAAAUCCUUGGCUCUAAUACAGUCGGGGGAUGACGGUACCGGAAGAAUAAGCACCGGCUAACUACGUGCCGGCAGCCGCGGUAAUACGUAGGGUGCGAGCGUUAAUCGGAAUUACUGGGCGUAAAGCGUGCGCAGGCGGUUUGCUAAGACCGAUGUGAAAUCCCCGGGCUCAACCUGGGAACUGCAUUGGUGACUGGCAGGCUAGAGUAUGGCAGAGGGGGGUAGAAUUCCACGUGUAGCAGUGAAAUGCGUAGAGAUGUGGAGGAAUACCGAUGGCGAAGGCAGCCCCCUGGGCCAAUACUGACGCUCAUGCACGAAAGCGUGGGGAGCAAACAGGAUUAGAUACCCUUGUAGUCCCAUGA
rnacentral:rRNA from 1 species